CUUAUGGGGUUCACCAGAACAAUUUCAUCAAUGUUUGAGGUACUAGUGCCAUUGAGGUAUCCAGCCUCACCUGCAGCAAUUACUCCAGAAAGGUGAAGUUGUCCACAGGAAAAUGAAAUUUUUGGAACUGAAGAUCAUCUUCAUCAAUGGAGUGAUCCAUUGGUUUAAAUCUGGAAACACAAUGAACCUUUGGUGUAACUGGUUACUGAAUCUCAACUAAGCCCAGGACACCUACCACACACCCUCAGAAAGUGCACUUCAGUUCUGGUAUGAAACAUAGGAAGUUAAGUCACUCUCCUUCAAAAAGAUAGAGGAUAUAAAUAUGAAUCAUGGUAAAUAAAUGA